GCAAAAUAUCUCCCGCUCCGCUCCCAUACAGGUCUUUCUCCACUCAAAUUUUCUUCCGAAUCACUCAUCUUAAUUUCCCGCUGUCUUUCUUGGAGACCAAACACAACUCAGAACUCAGAGUUUCCGUCGUGUUAUCAUGAGUUUGCUUGUAAACCACUGUGUUAGCUGUUGCAUAAAUAGACACAGAACCAAUCAUGGGAGAGAUAAGGUCCCAAUCAAAAUGAGUAACAAAUCUUCCACGAAUGACAAUCUUCGUGAUGAUAUCGUAUCGUUAUCGAAGAAUGACGGC
rnacentral:misc_RNA from 1 species